rnacentral:lncRNA from 1 species
ACAUGGACAGGUGAGAUACAGGUGAGAGACAGGUGAGACAUGGACAGGUGAGACAUGGACAGGUGAGACAGGUGAGACAUGGACAGGUGAGACAGGUGAGACAUGGACAGGUGAGACAUGGACAGGUGAGACAUGGACAGGUGAGACAGGUGAGACAGGUGAGAGACAGGUGAGACAUGGACAGGUGAGACAGGUGAGAUACAGACAGGUGUCAUCACUGCCGGGAUCAGCUCGUGGAGCUGACAGGUGAGAGACAGGUGAGAGACAGGUG